ACUGCUCAGUAACACGUAGCUAAUCUGCCCUAUGAUCAGGAACAACCUCGGGAAACUGAGGCUAAUGCCUGAUAGAUGGGAGAGGCUGGAAUGCGCUCUCAUUGAAACGCAAGGUCGUAGGAUGAGGCUGCGGCUGAUUAGGUAGUUGCUGAGGUAAAAGCUCAACAAGCCAAUGAUCAGUAAGGGCUCUUAACGGAGAGGCCCUGAGAAGGACUCUGAGACACUAGUCCUAGCUCUAUGGAGUGCAGCAGUUAGGUGAAUUUUCCAAUGUUCGAAAGAAUGAGAAAGGAAUCCAGAGUGCUUUCCUUUUUAGGAAAGCUUUUGUAUCGUGCAAAAAGCGAUACGAAUAAGGACUGGGCAAGACUGGUGCCAGCCGCCGCGGUAAUCCCAGCAGUCCAAGUGGCAGCCACAAUUAUUAGGUCUAAAACAUUCGUAGCCCGUCGAGCAAGUUUCUUGUGAAAUGGUUCAGCUUAACUGAACCGCGUGCAAGAAAUACUACUUGACUAGAGACUGGAAGACGUAAGGAGUACAUUUGAGGUAGCGGUAAAAUGUUUUAAUCUCAGAUGGACUAACAAUGGCGAAGGCACCUUACGAGGACAGUUCUGACAGUGAGGAAUGAAGGCCCGGGGCGCAAAUUGGAUUAGAUACCCAUGUAGUCCGGGCAGUAAACACUGAUUACUAAACAUUGUGCCCUCCUCGAGAGGGUGCAGUGCUGAAGGGAAGCUGAAGAGUAAUCUACCUGGGGAGUAUAGCCGCAAGGCCGAAACUUAAAGGAAUUGGCGGGGGAGCAC
rnacentral:rRNA from 1 species